rnacentral:rRNA from 1 species
GACGAAGGGGGCUAGCGUUGUUCGGAAUUACUGGGCGUAAAGCGUGUGUAGGUGGUUGUCAUAGUCAGGCGUGAAAGCCCUGGGCUCAACCUGGGAAUGGCGAUGGAUACUGGCCAGCUAGAGUGUGAUAGAGGAUGGCGGAAUUCCCGGUGUAGCGGUGAAAUGCGUAGAGAUCGGGAGGAACAUCCGUGGCGAAGGCGGCCAUCUGGAUCAACACUGACGCUGAGGCACGAAAGCGUGGGGAGCAAACAGG